rfam:Gemmatimonadetes bacterium RIFCSPLOWO2_02_FTLL_71_11 rifcsplowo2_02_scaffold_38563, whole genome shotgun sequence.
GCGAGAGUGGCGGAAUUGGCAGACGCGCGGGCCUUAGGAGCCCGUGGGGUAACCCCCGUGGGGGUUCGAGUCCCCCCUUUCGCA